AUAAGAGGUCCAGCCUGCCCAGUGAUCUAUUCAACGGCCGCGGUAUUCUAACCGUGCGAAGGUAGCGUAAUCACUUGUCUUCUAAAUAAAGACUAGUAUGAAAGGCAUCACGAAGACUAAGCUGUCUCCUCUCUCCAAUCAGUGAACCUAAUCUCCCCGUGAAGAAGCGGGGAUCCAAUUAUAAGACGAGAAGACCCUAUGGAGCUUUAAACAUCGUAACAUCUGCCACCACUUCUACCCACUCCGGUGUACCCUCUAAACGGCACCCUGAUUACAUGUUUUUGGUUGGGGUGAUCGCGGAGAAAAACUCAUCCUCCACAAUGAAAGGGACCUCCCCCCUAAACAAUAAGUUACAACUUUAUGUAUCAAGAAAUUGACAUCCAUUGACCCAAUAAUUGAUUAACGAACCAAGUUACCCUAGGGAUAACAGCACAAUCCACUUUGAGAGCCCGUAUCGACAAGUGGGCUUAUGACCUCGAUGUUGGAUCGGGAUAUCCCAGUGGUGCAACCGCUACUAAAGGUUCGUUUGUUCAACGAUUAAAACCCCACGUGAUC
rnacentral:rRNA from 1 species